rnacentral:rRNA from 1 species
UACAGAGGUCUCAAGCGUUGUUCGGAUUCAUUGGGCGUAAAGGGUGCGUAGGUGGCGUCGUAAGUCAGGUGUGAAAUCUCGGGGCUCAACCCCGAAACUGCACUUGAUACUGCGAUGCUUGAGUACUGGAGAGGAGAUUGGAAUUUACGGUGUAGCAGUGAAAUGCGUAGAUAUCGUAAGGAAGACCAGUGGCGAAGGCGAAUCUCUGGACAGUUACUGACACUGAGGCACGAAGGCCAGGGGAGCAAACGGG